rnacentral:sRNA from 1 species
CCUUCGGCCAAAAAAGCGUCCGCCGCUUC